UACGUAGGUGGCGAGCGUUGUCCGGAUUUACUGGGCGUAAAGCGCGCGUAGGCGGCCUAUCAAGUCUGGGGUGAAAUCUCUCGGCCUAACCGGGAGGGGUCUUCAGAUACUGGUGGGCUUGAGGGCAGCAGAGGUCGGUGGAAUUCCCGGUGGAGUGGUGAAAUGCGUAGAUAUCGGGAGGAACACCAGUGGCGAAGGCGGCCGACUGGGCUGUCCCUGACGCUGAGGUGCGAAAGCGUGGGGAGCGAACCGG
rnacentral:rRNA from 1 species